AGAAAAUCCACUGCACAAAGACCCUCGACAAAUAAAUGGCAUCAGAAAGCUGAGCUCGUAGACCAAGCAGAUGACACUCAGGAAUUCACAUUGGUUCUACAGGGCAUGAUGUGAGCAGUGGCUGUCAGUGACAUCUGUCAGGAACAUGCUGAAGUACUUGUAUCUGGGUUUUCAUUUAAAAUACCCCGGCAAAAAAAACAGCAAAGAAUGUGGAGGAGGGGGGCAGAAUCCGCAGGGGCACAUGGCUGGUGGCAGGCAUGUGAGGUAUGUGGGACAACUUUGCACCUCUCUAUUUUUGUGUAUGUUUGAAACUCUCCCAUUGUACAAGUUCAAAAUCAAUCAGUGACUCAAUCAACAAAUCCAGGACCUUCCCAGGGCUCCCAGGCCACUGAGAAUCAAAGCCAGGUCCUCAGCCUCUGGCCAGCAGCAGUAUCUCCCUGAACCACACACCUCGACCCUCACCUGCUCCACUCCAGCCAAGUGGCUGGGCAGCUGCCCACACACAUGCCCGGCUCGGGGCCUGGGCACUGGCUGGUGCCCCUCACCGUCAUCCACCAGGCCUCAACCUCCCUUCUCCUGGCUCAGAUCUGAGAGGCCCACCCAGCUCACUCAAAAAUCCUUUACCAUCCAGCUCCCCCAGAGAGACUGGGGGUGACCCAGCAGUCCCCCUGGGAGAGCUGGAUGGUAAGCUUUUUUUCUGAGAAGGUCUCACUCUGUUGCACAGGCUGGAGUGCAGUGGUACGAUCUCGGCUCACUGCAACCUCCGCCUCCCACGUUCAAGCGAUUCUCCUGCCUCAG
rnacentral:lncRNA from 10 species